CCUACGGGAGGCAGCAGUGGGGAAUAUUGGACAAUGGGGGCAACCCUGAUCCAGCCAUGCCGCGUGUGUGAAGAAGGCCCUCGGGUUGUAAAGCACUUUCAGUGAGGAAGAACGCCUGGUGGUUAAUACCCAUCAGGAAAGACAUCACUCACAGAAGAAGCCCCGGCUAACUCCGUGCCAGCAGCCGCGGUAAUACGGAGGGUGCGAGCGUUAAUCGGAAUUACUGGGCGUAAAGCGCGCGUAGGUGGCUUGAUAAGCCGGUUGUGAAAGCCCCGGGCUCAACCUGGGAACGGCAUCCGGAACUGUCAAGCUAGAGUGCAGGAGAGGAAGGUAGAAUUCCCGGUGUAGCGGUGAAAUGCGUAGAGAUCGGGAGGAAUACCAGUGGCGAAGGCGGCCUUCUGGACUGACACUGACACUGAGGUGCGAAAGCGUGGGUAGCAAACAGGAUUAGAUACCCUUGUAGUC
rnacentral:rRNA from 1 species